AGUGGGAUAACUGGGUCGAAUGGUGCUUUCAUUCCAAGUUUUCUAAGGAAUUUCCAUACUGCUUUCCAGAGUGAUUGCACCAACUUGCACUCCCAUCAGCAAU
rnacentral:pre_miRNA from 1 species